rnacentral:rRNA from 1 species
CCUACGGGGGACAGCAGUGGGGAAUAUUGGGCCAUGGGCGCAAGCCUGACCCAGCAACGCCGCGUGAAGGAAGAAGGCUUUCGGGUUGUAAACUUCUUUUCUCAGGGACGAAGCAAGUGACGGUACCUGAGGAAUAAGCCACGGCUAACUACGUGCCAGCAGCCGCGGUAAUACGUAGUUGGCAAGCGUUAUCCGGAUUGACUGGGUGUAAAGGGCGGGUAGGCGGGACUGCAAGUCAGAUGUGAACACCACGGACGCAACCUGUGGCCUGCAUUUGAAACGGUAGUUCUUGAGUACUGGAGAGGCAGACGGAAGUCCUAGUGUAGCGGUGAAAUGCGUAGAUAUUAGGAGGAACACCAGUGGCGAAGGCGGUCUGCUGGACAGCAACUGACGCUGAGGCGCGAAAGCGUGGGGAGCAAACAGGAUUAGAUACCCCAGUAGUC